rnacentral:rRNA from 1 species
UACGUAGCAGCGAGCGUUGUUCGGAAUUACUGGGCGUAAAGAGUGUGUAGGCGGUGCUCUAAGUUCGGUGUGAAAUCUCCCGCUUAACUGGGAGGGUGCGCCGGAAACUGGAAUGCUCGAACGUGGGAGAGGAAAGCGGAAUUCCUGGUGUAGCGGUGAAAUGCGUAGAUAUCAGGAGGAACACCUGCGGUGUAGACGGCUUUCUGGACCAUUGUUGACGCUGAGACACGAAAGCGUGGGUAGCAAACAGG